UACGUAGGGGGCAAGCGUUGUCCGGAUUUACUGGGCGUAAAGAGCGCGUAGGCGGACGUUUUUUAAGUGUGGCCUGAAAGCCCCCGGCUCAACCGGGGAUCCGGGUUGCAAACUGGACGUCUUGAGGGGGAUAGGGGAAGGUGGAAUUCCUGGUGUAGCGGUGAAAUGCGUAGAGAUCAGGAGGAACACCCGUGGCGAAGGCAGGUCUCUGGGCCACUACUGACGCUGAGAAGCGAAAGCAUGGGGAGCGAACAGG
rnacentral:rRNA from 1 species